ACAACAUUCGGACCGUCGGUCUACCGAGCAACAUCACCCGUUCGGUGGAAGAUCUUCCAUUUGUCGU
rnacentral:pre_miRNA from 1 species